rnacentral:lncRNA from 1 species
AAAAUACUGAAAUCAGGUACGAUUAUAAAGCUUUUUUGAUUCAUAGAGAAUUCCCGUGUUUCUGAAUUCUAGACUAGAAGAACAAGUUACAAUUCAAACUGAGCCAUGCUUGAUAUUGUACAUAAUAUUUGUCAGGAUGUUGAAGAAGUAGUUAGCUCGGGCAUCACUGUUAUACUGAGGAAUGCAAUACAUUAGGUCGGGCAUCAUUGUUAUACUGAGGAAUGCAAUACAUUAGGUCGGGCAUCACUGUUAUACUGAGGAAUGCAAUACAUUAUAUGAAAGCAAAAAAUGGAUUAUUAUAAGAAUAUAUUUAAACAAAGUGGGUUAUUUGAGUAAAGAUUUGUAUAUUUAGGAAACUUUUUGCUAAAACAAACACAAAAGGAAAAGAAACCGCAAGUGUCCAAGGCAAUGAAGGAAAGCCUGAGGUAGGGUUUGUCCCAUCGCGAAUCAUCUCCAUGGACCAUUCUGAAGCAUCGAGAAUCAUCCCACGGUGAGUCCUUUCCGUCGACCACUCUGUGUCACCGCCGUAUGGAGCAUCUCAAUUCUAAGUCGUAGUCUCAAUCUUCUCAAAAUUUCCAAUUUCAUUCUGACUUGAAUUUCUAAAACAUGUUUGCAGGAUCUCAAGUCAUCACUCAACAAUGGGAGUCAUUCAAGUAACUGUUUUGGAACCAAUGGAAGCUAGCAAACAACAUCAGGAUACUUUUUAGGGUUUAUCCCGUAGGCUCAUAACGAUUUACAUUUCAUUUUAUAAUUAAUAGGACAAUUAUAUGGGUUUGAAGUAUUCUCUUUCUGUAUAGUUAUCAAAAAACAUGAUUUUGAUAAACAAGCCGAAAAUGAGACACUUUAUGUUCACUGUUAUGCAUUGCAUUGUUUUGAUGAGAAAGUAUGGAAUGGGGGAUUUAAGGAAAGAGGUGAGAACGUUGGCGCGUGGCGAUUCCUGCCCGUCAAUGAUGGGAUAUUGGUGCAAUAUUCAACACUCAGUAGAUAAACCUAAUUUAUGUGUUUUAAUUGUCAAUUAUAUGGACAAAAUCUUCCAUUCUUAUUCACAGAUUUUCUUAACAUGAAUAGAGUCAAAUUAAAACAUAUUCAGAUUUUCUUAACAUGCAUAGAUNUUUCUUAACAUGAAUAGAGUCAAAUUAAAACAUAUUCAGAUUUUCUUAACAUGCAUAGAUUCUCUUGAUGGAUUUUUAUAUCUAGGAUGAUGGGUGCUGAUUACUAUCAAACAGCUGGCAGAAGGAAAUGUCCCAGUUGGUGUUGGAGAAAAUACUGAAAUCAGGUACGAUUAUAAAGCUAUUUUGAUUCAUAGAGAAUUCCCGUGUUUCUGAAUUCUAGACUAGAAGAAGAAGUUACAAUUCAAACUGAGCCAUGCUUGAUAUUGUACAUAAUAUUUGUCAGGAUGUUGAAGAAGUAGUUAGGUCGGGCAUCACUGUUAUACUGAGGAAUGCAAUACAUUUGGUUGGGCAUCACUGUUAUACUGAGGAAUGCAACAAUUAUAUGAAGCACUUCAAAUUAUCCGGUCGAUCUCUAGAGUUUAGACAUAAACAUGGUAUUUCUAAAUUCUUAGAUGCAAACUCAUGGCAGAAUCAAUUAUUGAUAUGUUAUUUGAGUAAAGAUUUGUAUAUUUAGGACACUUUUUGCUAAAACAAACACAAAAGGAAAAGAAACCGCAAGUGUCCAAGGCAAUGGAUGAAAGUGUGAGGUAGGGUUUAUCCCAUCGCGUAUCAUCUCC